AACACAUUCGUUCGCGAUAUCCGAAACGAUUCUACAGUGAGUAUAUUAGGUGCAUUAUAUUUCAUCGGAGCAGAACAUAUUAUACCACCAUUAUCGUACUAAUAAAUAUCUAUUUGUUUGCGCUUUUAUAUCAAUUGCAGUAUUUUCCAUUCACUUCGAAAACCGACCAAAACCCGAACAAAAAUGGGCGCCGAAAAAGUAUCCAUGAACAUCGUCGUCGUCGGACAAGUCGAAUCGUCCAAGGCCACCAGGACCGUCGCCAAAGCCAUUCCGGCCAACAAUCAAUUGUUGGUGAGUAUAUUCAACAGAGUUUACGAAAUUGUAUUCGACUCGAUAUUCGUACAGCUACUUUCGAUCGUUUUCCCAAAUCCUUUUUAACGUUUUUCGUUUUUCGUUUAAUAAAACGAUAAUAAUAUAUAUUUAUAUAUAAAAUCGACAGUGAUUAAGAUAAUACCUAAUCAUAUGCGUCUUAAAUUUUUAUGAAAACAUGAAUAGUUUUCCAUAUUUUUUACAUUAUAUAAGACGUGUUGUUUUACAUUGUGUCACGUCGACUAUUGAUUACGUUUUUGUUGCUAUAGAAAUAUUGUUACAAAAAAUGCAUUAAACAGUUAAUAUCGUAUAAGGAUAAUAUAAAGUUACGAUAUCGUUAAUAUAUUUAAGUAUCGGGCAAUAAUUUUCAUUUCGUUUUGAAAUCGGUAAAUAUUAAGUAUUUCCCAUUGCACGUGAAUAAAACACACAUUUAAAAGUAGUAAAUAUUAUUUUCAAUCAAACGCUAACGAACACGGUAAUGCUGUAAAAUCGUAAAAUGAGCAGUGCAAUAAUAUAAGAUUAAAUUAAAAAAAAAAAAAAAAAUUAAAAUCUAAUCCUUAUGACCUGUGUAAUAAAUGUAUACGCCGAAACACCGAUUGUAUUGUAUUUGUAUUGUUUCAGAACUGUUAAAACGAUACUGCAUGAUUAAGUCACGAAGUUCGUCCGUUGCGGAGAAUCCAAAAAUGCCAUAGCCCGCGCAAUUAUUAAUGUAGUUGGUAAAUUCGCUAUAAAUCGAUACCGCAAUUUUGUAGCGCAGACAUCUUAUAUUAUGCCAAAAUAAACCAAAACGUUCCAAUAUUUAUACCGUUGUUCGUCGAUCACGUUUAAUAAUAAUAAUUAUGCCUGGUGAUUUUUUGCACUGUCCUUUGCUUUUAUACAAAGUCGAACCCAUCUGUAGGUAACCCGGAGAACUUACGGUACUACAAUCGAUCGUUCGAUAGCAAGUGAUCGUGAAAUUUUGACCAAACAAGACUGUACGCUGCCAAAAACAAAAUAUAGUGCAAAUACAGGCCAUAACGGUUAUACAUUACAAUGCAAUAUACGAAUCACAAUAUUACGCGAGAGGUAAAGGUCACAAACGGCCCUGUAUAGUUAUUGCUGG